rnacentral:rRNA from 1 species
AACACAUGCAAGUCGAACGGUAACAGGAAACAGCUUGCUGUUUCGCUGACGAGUGGCGGACGGGUGAGUAAUGUCUGGGAAACUGCCUGAUGGAGGGGGAUAACUACUGGAAACGGUAGCUAAUACCGCAUAGCGUCGCAAGACCAAAGAGGGGGACCUUCGGGCCUCUUGCCAUCGGAUGUGCCCAGAUGGGAUUAGCUAGUAGGUGGGGUAACGGCUCACCUAGGCGACGAUCCCUAGCUGGUCUGAGAGGAUGACCAGCCACACUGGAACUGAGACACGGUCCAGACUCCUACGGGAGGCAGCAGUGGGGAAUAUUGCACAAUGGGCGCAAGCCUGAUGCAGCCAUGCCGCGUGUAUGAAGAAGGCCUUCGGGUUGUAAAGUACUUUCAGCGGGGAGGAAGGGAGUAAAGUUAA